rnacentral:rRNA from 1 species
AUACGUAGGGGGCGAGCGUUAUCCGGAAUUAUUGGGCGUAAAGAGUACGUAGGCGGUUCUGUAAGCGUGAGGUGAAAGCCCGGGGCUUAACUCCGGUAAGCCUUUCGAACUGCAGGACUUGAGUGCUGGAGGGGAAAGUGGAAUUCCUAGUGUAGCGGUGAAAUGCGUAGAUAUUAGGAGGAACACCAGUGGCGAAGGCGACUUUCUGGACAGUAACUGACGCUGAGGUACGAAAGCGUGGGGAGCAAACAGGAUUAGAUACCCUGGUAGUCCACGCUGUAAACGAUGAUGACUAGGUGUGGGGGGACUGAACCCUUCCGUGCCGCAGUUAACACAAUAAGUCAUCCACCUGGGGAGUACGGCCGCAAGGUUGAAACUCAAAUGAAUUGACGGGG